CCAAUCAAAUUGUCGCUGGCAAAAUCAUCGGCUAUUUGUUGACGUAAUCGAAGGGAAUAAGUCUAGAGUUCUUCCGAAUUUGACCUCUGACGUGACCCUCUAUGGGAUGUUGUUAGAUGUUAAUGUAGCGAGUUCGCGAGUGGACCUAACAUCUAAUUUUAAUUAGAUUGACCAGGCAGUAACAAAGAUGAAAGAUGCUGUUGCUGAAAGAUCCAGUCAAGCACUAAACUGACUAAACUGACUUGAAUGAUCAGCCUCCUUAAAAAUGCAAAUCAAAUACAGGUUUUUGUCAGCUUAUCUGGAAAUCUUAGGACAUCACUGAUUUGAUCAAGAACUCAUCCAGCGUGAAGACCAGCCAUGUGCCUCACUUGUCAUGACAUUAUUAAAGCACUUUGAGACAAGGGGAAGAUGGGAUUUAAAACAUGACAUGGCUCUAUAUUAUUGCAUCAAAGACCAAUCCAGGUUUACGUAUAAAGUGAAGGAAAACAGUCAAGCAUCAUUUGGAGCCACGUGUACAUAUGUUAC